rnacentral:lncRNA from 1 species
AGAAAGAAAGAGAGAGAGAAGACAUAAAAGUAUAGAAAAGGAAGUGGUUUUUCCUCUACUACAAGAGACCAUGAUACUUGAACUUUAAAAAAAACAUCACGGCAAUUUGGUUUGGCCAAUUUUGACAAAAAAACAUGAGGAGAAAUAAAUUUUCACAAUCACAUUAGCUUGGGACAGGAAUGAUAUCAUUUAUCCUCAUCCUAAACUUGUGCAGUCCCAUCUAGCUCAUCUCAUUCUAUAAA